rnacentral:rRNA from 1 species
AGUGAACGCUGGCGGCGUGCUUAACACAUGCAAGUCGAACGGUAACAGAAGGAGCUUGCUCCUUGCUGACGAGUGGCGCACGGGUGAGUAAUAUAUAGUUAAUGUGCCUCGAAGACCGGGAUAGCCAUUGGAAACGAUGAUUAAAUACUGGAUAUACCUUUCUUUCAUAAGUUUGAAAGGGAAACGUUUUUUCGCUUCGAGAUCAGACUAUAUCCCAUCAGUUAGUUGGUGAGGUAAGAGCUCACCAAGGCAAUGACGGGUAGCGGGUUUGAGAGGAUGAUCCGCCACACUGGUACUGAGACACGGACCAG